UGUGAAUAUACAUCUACAGUGCAAAGUUAAUUUAUAUUUUGACAUCCUUCACUAUGUGCUAUUUGUUUAUCCCUAUUUUAGAUGCAUAGCUAAAUCCCAAAUUUAUUUCUAUACAUUUUGAGGUAAAGACAAGUCUUUCAAGAAGCUUUGAGGAAAAAGGGAACAGGGGUAGACGGAAGUUGGAAGGGGAAGAUGGGUCAAGAGAUGGCUUUUUUUAGGACAGGAAUGACAGUACCAUGUGUAAGGGGAGCAGUGACAAUGCAACCUCAAAGAUAUUUUGGUCCCAAGCCACCUCACGACAUCUCCCGCUAAAUCGCGCAGGCUAAA